ensembl:ncRNA F12F3.8 ncRNA
UGGUUUAAUCUGAGUUGCAUUGUUCGAAAACCGGAUCAAAAAUGAAGAAAAAACACUGGAAACUGAGAAACUAACCGGGAAGACUUUUGUUGUGGUAAAUGCAUUUGACAGAAGCGAUAAUUGGUGUGAAAAUACGAAGGAAUAGAGAGACAAAAAAGAGUUGGAAUGAGAUGAGAGAUGGAAGUAUAGACAAUAUACAAA